rnacentral:lncRNA from 1 species
UGGGUCAGGAACUAACCCAUUUGAGAGUUACUGAACUAUUGUCUAAACUUGAUGCACAAGGUCAAGAAAAUGGACACUUACAAAACAUGUCACGUCAGAUAUAAACAACUAUUACAUUUACUUUCCAUGUUAUUUUCUAGAGAUGCAUAGAAAUAGUUCUUCAUGUUGGAACUGAGUUGUUGCUCUUCUUCUCAAAGGAAGCUUUUUUCCUUCUGUUUGUUUUUGCUUUCUCCAUUUGUUUCUUCAAGCGCUCGCGCUCCUCAGAAAAAGAAAAAACUACAUUUCACAUAUUUUGUCUUUAAACUAACAAUGCUAUUACUAUUAGAAAUGCAAAUAGGAAAUUAAUAAUAUGAGCAAUGAAAAUGACAAGUUUUUUCUGUAAAGUCCACUAUAGAAAUGAAGUACUAAUCAAAAACUAAAGGAACAAACUGAAAACACAAAUUAUAUACCUCAUCAACUAACUCUAUAAGUGUAACAUCAAACUUGAGUUGCUUGAUUGAUUUUUCCAUCUGAGUGUUACAACCACAAUAAAAGAAAAGGCAGAAGAUUACAGAACUACACUCAUCCAAGUAAGAUAUGGUUCAACAAAGAAGACUCUUGAAAAAUUGAAGUAGUUAAGAGAAACUGACUUUACGUUCUCAAUCUCUUGUUUAAACGUUUCAA